GCCAGUGUGGCUCAGUUGGUUGGAGCAUCGUCUUAUGCACAGAAGGGUAAGGGUUCAAUUCCCUGUCCAGGCA
rnacentral:tRNA from 1 species